UACAGAGGUGGCAAGCGUUGUUCGGAUUAAUUGGGCGUAAAGGGUCCGUAGGCGGUUCGGAAAGUUGGAUGUGAAAUCCUACAGCUUAACUGUAGAACUGCAUUCAAAACUUCCGAACUAGAGUAUGAGAGGGGUUAAGGGAAUUCCCGGUGUAAGGGUGAAAUCUGCAGAGAUCGGGAGGAACACCAGUCGCGAAGGCGCUUAACUGGCUCAUUACUGACGCUCAGGGACGAAAGCUAGGGGAGCAAACGGG
rnacentral:rRNA from 1 species